rnacentral:rRNA from 1 species
AUGGUUGCCCGUCUACUGCGAGAAGAGGAGAUCAAAUGCUACCAGAGAUCCAAAGCUGAUUUCAUUUUGAUGGGUGAUAGUAAUACAAGAUACUUCCAAUUGGUCGCCAAUGGGCGGCAUAGGAAGAAAUGUAUUUAUAGUCUCCAACAAGAUGAGGGGAGGAUCGAAGGUCAGGAGGAGCUCAAAAAGUAUAUCACCAAAUACUACAAAACUCUUUUCAGAGCGCCAACUGAAGGGAAUUUCACCCUUGGUGAGACCCGAACAGAUAAUAUUCCACAUGUCAUGGCAGAAGAAAACGGUAUCCUAACGGCACCAUUCUCAGAAGAGGAGGUGCGAGUUGCAGUGCUCCAAAUGGAACAUAACAAAGCUCCAGGCCCUGAUGGUUUCCCCGUAGAAUUCUAUCAGAAUUUCUGGGAUAUCAUCAAGUCUGACCUUUUGGAGUUGUUCAAUUGUUUUCAUGCUGACCGACUUGACCUAUUCAGACUUAAUUUUGGCGAGAUUGUCUUGUUGCCGAAGAAUAAGGAGGCCGAACGGAUUCAACAGUUCAGACCCAUAUGCCUCCUUAAUGUCAGCUUCAAGAUUUUCACCAAAGUGGCGACGAAUAGAUUAAACUCGGUAGCUGACCAUGUUAUCCGGCCAUCUCAAACAGCUUUCAUGCAAGGGAGGAACAUACUCGAUGGCGUAGUAAUCAUGCAUGAGACCGUCCAGGAGAUGCACCGAAAAAAUAUGAGUGGAGUGGUAUUCAAAAUAGACUUUGAAAAAGCCUAUGACAAGGUCAAAUGGUCUUUCCUCCAACAGGCCCUAAGGGUGAAAGGCUUCCCCGAUAAAUGA